rnacentral:rRNA from 1 species
AUUGAACGCUGGCGGCAGGCUUAACACAUGCAAGUCGAGCGGGGGAAGGUAGCUUGCUACCGGACCUAGCGGCGGACGGGUGAGUAAUGCUUAGGAAUCUGCCUAUUAGUGGGGGACAACAUCUCGAAAGGGAUGCUAAUACCGCAUACGUCCUACGGGAGAAAGCAGGGGAUCUUUGGACCUUGCGCUAAUAGAUGAGCCUAAGUCGGAUUAGCUAGUUGGUGGGGUAAAGGCCUACCAAGGGGACGAUCUGUAGCGGGUCUGAGAGGAUGAUCCGCCACACUGGGACUGGGACACGGCCCAGACUCCUACGGGAGGCAGCAGUGGGGAAUAUUGGACAAUGGGGGGAACCCUGAUCCAGCCAUGCCGCGUGUGUGAAGAAGGCCUUAUGGUUGUAAAGCACUUUAAGCGAGGAGGAGGCUACUUUAGUUAAUACCUAGAGAUAGUGGACGUUACUCGCAGAAUAAGCACCGGCUAACUCUGUGCCAGCCGCCGCAGUAA